CCUACGGGGGGCAGCAGUGGGGAAUUUUGGACAAUGGGCGCAAGCCUGAUCCAGCAAUGCCGCGUGCAGGAUGAAGGCCUUCGGGUUGUAAACUGCUUUUGUGAACCGCUCGGUACCGUAAGAAUAAGCACCGGCUAACUACGUGCCAGCAGCCGCGGUAAUACGUAGGGUGCGAGCGUUAAUCGGAAUUACUGGGCGUAAAGCGUGCGCAGGCGGUAAUGUAAGACAGAUGUGAAAUCCCCGGGCUUAACCUGGGACCUGCAUUUGUGACUGCAUUGCUGGAGUGCGGCAGAGGGGGAUGGAAUUCCGCGUGUAGCAGUGAAAUGCGUAGAUAUGCGGAGGAACACCGAUGGCGAAGGCAAUCCCCUGGGCCUGACUGACGCUCAUGCACGAAAGCGUGGGGAGCAAACAGGAUUAGAUACCCUUGUAGUC
rnacentral:rRNA from 1 species